AGGACAUGCCUGGACUUCAAAAAUGUAAAUGUCACUGAACUCCUACAACACUGGGUAUGAGGAAUCAGAAGCAGUAGGUCAAGACAUGAAUGACAUCAAGAAGUGUGGUACUGAUUCUUUAGUUAGCAACUAGAUGAAAUUUCAAUGCCAGGACUUAUAUCCUGGCAGAGGACACAGAAAACAAGCAAACAAGUAAAACACAUAGUAUGUCAGAGGAAGAGGAAGGUAAGGGCUAUGGAGAGGAAAAGCAAACACAGUGGUCAAAAUUAUAAGAG
rnacentral:lncRNA from 1 species